rnacentral:rRNA from 1 species
AUACGUAGGGUGCGAGCGUUGUCCGGAAUUACUGGGCGUAAAGAGCUCGUAGGUGGUUUGUCGCGUCGUCUGUGAAAUUCCGGGGCUUAACUCCGGGCGUGCAGGCGAUACGGGCAUAACUUGAGUACUGUAGGGGAGACUGGAAUUCCUGGUGUAGCGGUGAAAUGCGCAGAUAUCAGGAGGAACACCGGUGGCGAAGGCGGUGCUGUGGGGAGUAACUGACGCUGAGGAGCGAAAGCAUGGGUAGCGAACAGGAUUAGAUACCCUGGUAGUCCAUGCCGUAAACGGUGGGCGCUAGGUGUAGGGGUCUUCCACGACUUCUGUGCCGUAGCUAACGCAUUAAGCGCCCCGCCUGGGGAGUACGGCCGCAAGGCUAAAACUCAAAGGAAUUGACGGGG